rnacentral:rRNA from 1 species
CACUUAACUUGAUCUUCUUCGGAACUGAUUGUUUUGUGACUGAGUGGCGGACGGGUGAGUAACGCGUGGGUAACCUGCCUCACACAGGGGGACAACAGCUGGAAACGGCUGCUAAUACCGCAUAAGCGCACAGCUUCGCAUGAAGCAGUGUGAAAAACUCCGGUGGUGUGAGAUGGACCCGCGUCUGAUUAGCUAGUUGGCAGGGUAACGGCCUACCAAGGCGACGAUCAGUAGCCGACCUGAGAGGGUGACCGGCCACAUUGGGACUGAGACACGGCCCAAACUCCUACGGGAGGCAGCAGUGGGGAAUAUUGCACAAUGGGCGAAAGCCUGAUGCAGCGACGCCGCGUGAGCGAAGAAGUAUUUCGGUAUGUAAAGCUCUAUCAGCAGGGAAGAAAAUGACGGUACCUGACUAAGAAGCUCCGGCUAAAUACGUGCCAGCAGCCGCGGUAAUACGUAUGGAGCAAGCGUUAUCCGGAUUUACUGGGUGUAAAGGGAGCGUAGGCGGCAGGGCAAGUCUGAUGUGAAAACCCAGGGCUCAACCUUGGGACUGCAUUGGAAACUGUUCGGCUGGAGUGUCGGAGAGGCAAGCGGAAUUCCUAGUGUAGCGGUGAAAUGCGUAGAUAUUAGGAGGAACACCAGUGGCGAAGGCGGCUUGCUGGACGAUGACUGACGCUGAGGCUCGAAAGCGUGGGGAGCAAACAGGAUUAGAUACCCUGGUAGUCCACGCCG